GAUACUGUUGGUUUGGCUUUCAGGCGCUCUGAGAGCGUUGGUUUUGUUUAAGUAUUAAAAAAAAAAGUAAAAAAAUAUCAAUGAGUCGUUUGUGUCAAAAAAACAACUGAAAAACACGAGGACGCUGCCACUGUAGCGUUCUGUCUGUCUGACAAACGGAACUUAAUUUGAAGAUAAUCAUAAAUGUGUCUCCUUCAGGGCACACACAGGGGGAGGGGGAGGAGUCAGAGGGAACAGCCACACUGGCCUUAUUUCAGCUCUCACCAACGCUGCCUCUGAGCUUCAGCUGGAAAUGAAUCCUUCUGCUUUUCUCAAUGGACUGAAAAGAAUGUACAGCUGCACCAGUCACAUGACGACACGAAGACACAGACAAUAAGUCACGACUGACGACACAUCUCACGAUGGAAGAAGAAGAAGAAGAAGUGAUGAAAGGUGGUGCCUUUGUUUUCAUUAUCCAAAGGCAUGACAAAAUACGAGCGUAGCUACGAGUCUGUGUCUCAAGGUCACCUUUAUAGGUUCAGGAAAAGCAAAAGGAUGAAUCCCAUUGGAAUUUCUGUAUUGAUUUCUCCCAAUCAUCCAGCAAAUUCUCCUGGAAUAUAUUCACAAAC